rnacentral:rRNA from 1 species
AGGUCAAGAUAGUAAGGGCACAUGGUGGAUGCCUAGGCGUUAAAGGCCGAAGAAGGACGUAGCAGGCUGCGAAAAGCUUCGGGGAGCCGCCAACAGGCGUUGAUCCGGAGAUAUCCGAAUGGGGGAACCCGCCCGGGGGAAUGCCCGGGCACCACCUGUUGAACACAUAGGCAGGUGGGGGGCACGAGGGGAACUGAAACAUCUUAGUACCCUCAGGAAAAGAGAGGAUUCCCCGAGUAGUGGCGAGCGAAAGGGGAGAAGCCCAAACCGAGCGCGUGGCAAGCGUGUGGGCGUUGCGCGCUGGGGGUAGGAAGCACUGGCUGGGGUUGCCACACCGACCCCGAGGAGUGAGAAACCCGCUCUCUAGGGGAAGGGCACUGGAAAGGCCCACCGGAGAGUGUGAGAGUCCCGUACGCGAAAGGGAGCGGGCUCCUGCCAGGGGCUUGAGUACCACGGGGCACGCUAAUCCUGUGGGAAGCAGGGGGGUCCACCCUCCAAGGCUAAAUACCUUUAACGACCGAUAGUGGACAAGUACCGUGAGGGAAAGGUGAAAAGAACCGGGGUGACCGGAGUGAAAUAGAACCUGAAACCAUGUGCCUACAAGCAGUGGGAGGCGGUCGUGAGGCCGCUGACCGCGUGCCUUUUGGAGAAUGAGCCAGCGAGUUACUCUCUGUGGCGAGGUUAAGGGGGCGUACACCCGGAGCCGUAGCGAAAGCGAGUCUGAAGAGGGCGUGCGGCGCGCGAGCGCUGCGUAGUCGCAGGGAGUAGACCCGAAACCAGGUGAGCUACCCAUGGCCAGGCUGAAGCGGGGGUAACACCUCGUGGAGGGCCGAACCCUUCACUGUUGCAAAAGUGAGGGAUGAGCUGUGGGUAGAGGUGAAAUGCCAAACGAACCUGGAGAUAGCUGGUUCUCCCCGAAAUAGCUUUAGGGCUAGCGUCAGGCGAUGCGUCGUGGGGGUAGAGCACUGAAUUGGCUAGGGGGCUUACCGCUUACCGAACCAUAUCAAACUCCGAAUACCACGAUGGGGAGCCUGGCAGUCGGACGGUGGGGGAUGAGCUUCAUCGUCGAGAGGGAAAGAGCCCAGACCACCAGCUAAGGUCCCGAAAUUCGGGCUCAGUGGGAAAGGAAGUGGGAUUACCGAGACAGCCAGGAGGUUGGCUUAGAAGCAGCCAUCCUUCAAAGAGUGCGUAAUAGCUCACUGGUCGAGUGAUCCUGCGCCGACAAUAUAUCGGGGCUAAGCCCGGUACCGAAGCUGUGGGCCCUGGUGUGAGCCGGGGCGGUAGGGGAGCGUUCUGAGGGCGUCGAAGCGGGGCUGCGAGGCCUGGUGGAGUCCUCAGAAGUGAGAAUGCUGGCAUGAGUAGCGAGAAAUGCGUGAGAAACGCAUUCGCCGUAAGUCCGAGGUUUCCGACGGAAGGUUAGUCCUCGUCGGGUUAGUCGGGCCUAAGCCGAGGGCGAGAGCCGUAGGCGAUGGACAACGGGUCAAUAUUCCCGUACCACGUCAAGGCGAUUGAGCGAAGGGGGGACGCAGGAGGGUAGGCCAGCCCGUUAUUGGAUUCGGGUGCCAAGCCUGUAGGGCGAUGAAGGGGGCAGGGAAAUCCGUUCCCGGAGCCUGAGGGGUGAUGGCGGUGGCCUUGAGCCCAGAAGUGGUCGAGCCCACACUGCCGAGAAAAGCCUCUAGCGAGCCUUGCGUGCCCGUACCGCAGACCGACACAGGUGGACGGGUAGAAUAUACCCAGGCGAACGGGGGAACCCUUGUUAAGGAACUAGGCAAAAUGACCCCGUAACUUCGGGAGAAGGGGGGUCUCCCUGGGUGAAGGCGCGAGCCGCUGGAGCCUGGGGGGAUCGCAGAGAAGAGGCCCUGCUGACUGUUUAACAAAAACACAGGUCUCUGCGAAAGCGUAAGCUGACGUAUAGGGGCUGACACCUGCCCAGUGCCGGAAGGUUAAGGGGAGGGGUUAGUGGUCGGGCGACCGACCGCGACGCUUCGAACCGAAGCCCCGGUGAACGGCGGCCGUAACUAUAACGGUCCUAAGGUAGCGAAAUUCCUUGUCGGGUAAGUUCCGACCCGCACGAAUGGUGUAACAAGUGGGGCGCUGUCUCAACAAGGGACCCGGCGAAAUUGAAAUAGGUGUGAAGAUGCAUCUUACCCGCAGCAGGACAAAAAGACCCCGUGGAGCUUUACUGCAGCUUGGUAUUGAGCUAGGGCUCGGUCUGUGUAGGAUAGGUGGGAGACGUUGAAGCUGGGGCGCCAGCCUCGGUGGAGUCGCCGUUGAAAUACCACCCUGAUCGAGUUUUGGCCCUAACCCCCGGCCGUGGAUCCGGCGGGGGGACAGUGCCAGGUGGGCAGUUUGACUGGGGCGGUCGCCUCCCAAAGGGUAACGGAGGCGCCCAAAGGUUCCCUCAGGCUGAAUGGAAACCAGCCGGAGAGUGCAAAGGCAGAAGGGAGCUUGACUGCGAGACCCACACGUCGAGCAGGGACGAAAGUCGGGCUUAGUGAUCUCACGUCGCCGCGUGGAAGGGGCGUGACUUAACGGACAAAAGCUACCCCGGGGAUAACAGGCUAGUCUUGCCCUAGAGUUCACAUCGACGGCAAGGUUCGGCACCUCGAUGUCGGCUCGUCGCAUCCUGGGGGCGGAGAAGCUCCCAAGGGUUGGGCUGUUCGCCCAUUAAAGCGGUACGCGAGCUGGGUUCAGAACGUCGUGAGACAGUUCGGUCUCUAUCCGCUGUGGGCGCAGGUGACUUGAGAGGAGCUGUCCCUAGUACGAGAGGACCGGGAUGGACAAACCUCUGGUGUGCCAGUUGUACCGCCAGGUGCAUCGCUGGGUAGCCACGUUUGGCAGGGAUAACCGCUGAAAGCAUCUAAGUGGGAAGCCCGCCUCAAGAUGAGGUCACCCAUGGCAUAAGCCAGUAAGACCCCUGGAAGACUACCAGGUUGAUAGGCGGCGGGUGUAAGGGCUGUAAGGCCUUGAGCCAAGCCGUACUAAUGGUCGAGGUCUUGAUCUUCCCUUUCU